GACGAACGCUGGCGGCGUGCUUAACACAUGCCAGUCGAACGGUAAGGCUCCAGCUUGCUGGGGUACACGAGUGGCGAACGGGUGAGUAACACGUGGGUGACCUGCCCUGCACUUCGGGAUAAGCCUGGGAAACUGGGUCUAAUACCGGAUAGGACCGCACCGUGAGGGUGUGGUGGAAAGUUUUUUCGGUGUGGGAUGGGCCCGCGGCCUAUCAGCUUGUUGGUGGGGUAAUGGCCUACCAAGGCGGCGACGGGUAGCCGGCCUGAGAGGGUGGACGGCCACAUUGGGACUGAGACACGGCCCAGACUCCUACGGGAGGCAGCAGUGGGGAAUAUUGCACAAUGGGCGGAAGCCUGAUGCAGCGACGCCGCGUGGGGGAUGACGGCCUUCGGGUUGUAAACUCCUUUCACCAUCGACGAGGGGUUUCUGACGGUAGAUGGAGAAGAAGCACCGGCUAACUACGUG
rnacentral:rRNA from 1 species